UUUAUUUAGCUGUAGUAAAUAAGAAAUUACUGAUUAAAAUUUACAUGCAAUAGGUUAAAAUACGCGCAGUAAAGAAAAUUUUUAGGAAAAUUUAUUUAAUGAUAGAAGUAAAUAAAGUGCCAGCAUCUGCGGUUAUACUUUUUCUCGGAUUUCUUUUUAGGUUAAUUAAAAAAAAGAAACAAAAUAAAAAAAGUUGUAAUUCUUUAUUUAUGUUUAAUUUUUUCUUAAAGAUUAAUAAGGGGGUUAAAAAAAGAGUUAGACUUCUAGUAUGCCUUAAUUAAAUUAACCAAAGAAUUAGUUGUAAUUACAUUAAAUUUAACCAGCGUGGCGGCACUUUACUCCUGGCAGAGGAGCUCGGCUCUUAAUAUGUUAAACCUCAGUAGGAUUUACCUUAAUUUAAUUUAUGUGUGGUUGUUUAGGGUAGUUACGCGUAACACCCCCCAUUUCAAAUUUUAUGUAAUGAUAUUAAGGGGAGGCUAAGCUACUAUCAUAGUAUUUUUAAAUAGUUAAAGGAUUUGCUAGUAAUAAAAACGUUUAAAUUUAUAUGGAAAGGUUUUAAAGUGUGCACAUAUCGUCCGUCGCUCUUAGUAAUAAGAUAAGUCGUAGCAUAGUAAAGGUUUUAGAAAAAGCCUUUAAUUUAA
rnacentral:rRNA from 1 species